UUAACUGAAUCCAUAGGUUAAUGAGGCGAACCGGGGGAACUGAAACAUCUAAGUACCCCGAGGAAAAGAAAUCAACCGAGAUUCCCCCAGUAGCGGCGAGCGAACGGGGAGGAGCCCAGAGCCUGAAUCAGCAUGUGUGUUAGUGGAAGCGUCUGGAAAGGCGCGCGAUACAGGGUGACAGCCCCGUACACAAAAGCGCAUGUGCUGUGAGCUCGAUGAGUAGGGCGGGACACGUGGUAUCCUGUCUGAAUAUGGGGGGACCAUCCUCCAAGGCUAAAUACUCCUGACUGACCGAUAGUGAACCAGUACCGUGAGGGAAAGGCGAAAAGAACCCCGGCGAGGGGAGUGAAAAAGAACCUGAAACCGUGUACGUACAAGCAGUGGGAGCACCCUUUUGGGGUGUGACUGCGUACCUUUUGUAUAAUGGGUCAGCGACUUAUAUUCUGUAGCAAGGUUAACCGAAUAGGGGAGCCGGAGGGAAACCGAGUCUUAACCGGGCGUUAAGUUGCAGGGUAUAGACCCGAAACCCGGUGAUCUAGCCAUGGGCAGGUUGAAGGUUGGGUAACACUAACUGGAGGACCGAACCGACUAAUGUUGAAAAAUUAGCGGAUGACCUGUGGCUGGGGGUGAAAGGCCAAUCAAACCGGGAGAUAGCUGGUUCUCCCCGAAAGCUAUUUAGGUAGCGCCUCGUGAAUUCAUCUCCGGGGGUAGAGCACUGUUUCGGCUAGGGGGCCAUCCCGGCUUACCAACCCGAUGCAAACUGCGAAUACCGGAGAAUGUUAUCACGGGAGACACACGGCGGGUGCUAACGUCCGUCGUGAAGAGGGAAACAACCCAGACCGCCAGCUAAGGUCCCAAAGUCAUGGUUAAGUGGGAAACGAUGUGGGAAGGCCCAGACAGCCAGGAUGUUGGCUUAGAAGCAGCCAUCAUUUAAAGAAAGCGUAAUAGCUCACUGGUCGAGUCGGCCUGCGCGGAAGAUGUAACGGGGCUAAACCAUGCACCGAAGCUGCGGCAGCGA
rnacentral:rRNA from 1 species